AACGAACGCUGGCGGCAUGCCUAACACAUGCAAGUCGAACGAGACCUUCGGGUCUAGUGGCGCACGGGUGCGUAGCGCGUGGGAAUCUGCCCUUGGGUUCGGAAUAACAGCGAGAAAUUGCUGCUAAUACCGGAUGAUGACGUAAGUCCAAAGAUUUAUCGCCCAAGGAUGAGCCCGCGUAGGAUUAGCUAGUUGGUGAGGUAAAGGCUCACCAAGGCGACGAUCCUUAGCUGGUCUGAGAGGAUGAUCAGCCACACUGGGACUGAGACACGGCCCAGACUCCUACGGGAGGCAGCAGUGGGGAAUAUUGGACAAUGGGCGAAAGCCUGAUCCAGCAAUGCCGCGUGAGUGAUGAAGGCCUAGGGUUGUAAAGCUCUUUACCCGGGAUGAUAAUGACAGUACCGGGAGAAUAAGCUCCGGCUAACUCCGUGCCAGCAGCCGCGGUAAU
rnacentral:rRNA from 1 species